rnacentral:misc_RNA from 1 species
AUUUCUUCUGCCAGUUCAGCCCAGUUGUCGCUCAAAGCUCGUGAAAGUAAUCUAGCCUCCUUUAGGGAAAUAGUUGAAUUUGAUGUCUUCUCAUGAAUAAGUUCUGUGGUUUCUUUCAAUUUUUCUCUCCGCCAACUUUCCACCGCAUCUCGUAGCAUGGUCGCAUCUUCAUUAGCAUUCACGCCUUUUAAAGUUACUAGUAUCUCAUCUGUUAUCUUCUGUUUAAUAUGUUCCGGUAUUUGCUGCACCUUUUCAUCCAUCGAAAGUUUGUUCUUUAAGAAAUUUACCACAUUAAUAAGUUCUACAGGUUCUAG